rnacentral:lncRNA from 1 species
UGACAUGAUGAUAAAAAAUGCGUCCCUUUUGUUAGGGAAAGAUUCACUUGGGAAUAUCUUCAUGAGAACGACAUGCAGGAUAGAAACUCACUCAGAAAAAUACCACUGACUCGACUGAGGAUUUACCCGGACUCUCACGAUUGAUCCCGGAUCCUGACUUAUACUAUGUAUGCAUGUUUAAUUUUUUAUGACGUAAUACUUCAGCUCGGUGAAAAUGCU